UACGUAGGGGGCUAGCGUUGUCCGGAUUUAUUGGGCGUAAAGAGCGUGUAGGCGGCCAGGUAGGUCUGCUGUGAAAACUCGAGGCUCAACCUCGAGACGUCGGCGGAAACCAUCUGGCUAGAGUCCGGAAGAGGAGAGUGGAAUUCCUGGUGUAGCGGUGAAAUGCGCAGAUAUCAGGAAGAACACCCGUGGCGAAGGCGGCUCUCUGGGACGGUACUGACGCUAAGACGCGAAAGCGUGGGGAGCGAACAGG
rnacentral:rRNA from 1 species